rnacentral:rRNA from 1 species
UACGGAGGGUGCGAGCGUUGUCCGGAAUCAUUGGGCGUAAAGGGCGCGUAGGUGGCCUUCUAAGCGUGCGGUGAAAGCCUGGGCUCAACCCGGGUCGGCCGUGCGAACUGGGGGGCUUGAGCACUGUAGAGGCAGGCGGAAUUCCGGGUGUAGCGGUGGAAUGCGUAGAGAUCCGGAAGAACACCGGUGGCGAAGGCAGCCCCCUGGGUCAAGAUUGACGCUCAUGCACGAAAGCGUGGGGAGCAAACGAGG